GAAAUGCGAUAAGUAAUGUGAAUUGCUGAAUUCAGUGAAUCAUCGAAUCUUUGAACGCACCUUGCGCUCCUUGGUAUUCCGAGGAGCAUGCCUGUUUGAGUGUCAUGGAAUUCUCAACUCUAUUUGCUUUUGUGAAUAGAGCUUGGAUUUGGAGGUUUAUUGCUGGUACUUGUGAUCGGCUCCUCUUGAAUGCAUUAGCUCGAACCUUUGCGGAUCAGCUAUCGGUGUGAUAAUUGUCUACGCCGUUGCAGUGAAGCAUAUCAAUGGGCUCGGCUUCCAAUCGUCCUUUACUGGACAAUGACUUUGACCUUUGACCUCAAAUCAGGUAGGAUUACCCGCUGAACUUAAGC
rnacentral:misc_RNA from 1 species